GAUGAACGCUGGCGGCGUGCCUAAUACAUGCAAGUCGAGCGAACAGACGAGGAGCUUGCUCCUCUGACGUUAGCGGCGGACGGGUGAGUCACACGUGGAUAACCUACCUAUAAGACUGGGAUAACUUCGGGAAACCGGAGCUAAUACCGGAUAAUCUCUUGAACCGCAUGGUUCAAUAGUGAAAGACGGUUUUGCUGUCACUUGUAGAUGGAUCUGCGCCGCAUUAGCUAGUUGGUAGGGUAGGGGCUUACCAAGGCAACGAUGCGUAGCCGACAUGAGAGGGUGAACGGCGAAAUUGGGAAUGAGAUAGGGACAAGAAUCCUAAGGGAGGAAGGAGUGGGGAAUAUUAAAAAAUGGGGGGAAGCAUGAUGCAGAAACGCAGCGUGCGGGAUGAAGGCCUUCGGGUUGUAAACAGAUUUCGCCGGUGAAGAAGAGUGAGUGAGGGGAAUGGGUAAAGAAGAAGGGGCUAAAUACGGG
rnacentral:rRNA from 1 species